AUAGCAACCGAACAUGGCGGCUGCGCAGGCGCCGCCAGUCAGUGGCCAGGAGCGGCGGCGGCAGCAACAGGAGGCGAUCUCGCGAGAGGCGAGGCCAAAACCCUGCCUCGCUAGCGCUGGGAGAAGUCGCACCAGUCCGAGCGCAGAGGGACACGCAGACAUUUCGGCAGAGGCCUCAAAGGCAGAACAAAAUAGUGCAAGGAGCCGCACAUCCGCACAGUGCUGAGACCCUGCCCAGGACAAGCUUGACAAAAAAGAAGAAAAUUGGGUCUUGUUAUGUUACCCAGGCUGGUCUCCAACUCCUGGCCUCAAGUGAUCCUCCCAGCUCGUCCUUCCAAAGUGUUGGGAUUAUAGGUGUGAGCCACUGUGCCUGGCCAUGUCUGAAUGUUGAAUGUUGACAGCUUCAGUGAAUUGACCCCUCUUUCACCUAUGGGACUUAUGAAGAGAGAAUCUUUCUGGCAUUGCAUAAUCCUUCCCAAGAGUACUUUAGCUGUGGUAACCCUUCUUGUUAUAAAACAUGCCAGGUAUGAUGAUGGAGAUCAUCUGAGGUGGACUUAGAAUCUUCUCUAAGAACAUUUACAGGCACUCAGUGUUAACAGCAGGGCAGAUGUAGGUUUCUGGGAACCUGAGGCUUAUAGGAGCUGGAGUUCAUUGUAAGAAAAAGAAUAUCAAAUUAUGAAGACAAAAUUAGGCAUCAAUGUGAAUAUUAAUUUAGGAGAAAUCACAACAAAUCACACAUCCUAAAAAGCUAACAAAUACUGCAUACAUUGCAAAAUCUAGAAGGAUAACAAUAUUUGUAUUGGUUAACUUGGACGUAUCACUAUAGUAUGCUUUUUUUCUACAUUUUUGGGCUAUAUUUUUUUCCUAUUCUUUUUGGUUGAUGUCCUUGUAGUAGUGGCUACAUGUUAGUAGCCACUAACCCUAGUAGUAACUAAUCCUAGUAGUAGGGUUCAUGUUGUUGUUGUCGAUGUCUGUAUUUUGUGAUCAAAUCACCAAGAUUGCAAAUCCUUUUUUCAACAUAUUCAUAUGAUUCACUCCCCUUCAUUAAAUUGGGUUAUUCAAACAAUUAUGCUCCAAAUUUAUCUCUUCCUCUUAAUCAAGUACUACUUUGGCAUGAUCUGAUUUUUAUAAUUAUUCUCUCUUCUCAUCUUUAUUAUUUAUAUUUUCUUAGCUAUUAUGAUUCUUCUCCUCAAUUUCAUGCUUUUGUCUAUCAGGCUUUUUAGCUUCUGUUGUGAUAGAACAAAAGAGUUUUUGACAUUUUGUAACUUCUUCCAGUCUUUUAUCUUUCAGUUUUUGUCUGAGACUUCUACUAGGAUGUUUUCUUCUCAACACACUUGAUUUUUGUAUAGUUAAUAAUUUUGAAAUAAAGGCAUUCUCAAGAGCAGUUCAAAUGCAUUUGAAAAUUGCUGAAAUGUAUUGAGUUACAUAUUGCAUAAUCAAAUUACUUUUUUGCCACAUAGACUGAGCUAUUGGUGAGUAUGUGUAGGGGUUUCAUUACCCUGGAGUCCUUUUUCUUUGCUUUUUUUCCCCUUUCUUUCCAUUUCUGUGGCAAUUUGGUGAACAGUUUCAUCAGGAAGUGUGAGACUUCAUAAGGGCAAGAGGAUCAGAUACUCUAAGGGUGAUCCGUUCAGUUUGCACAAUAAAUCUGUGGAAGACAUCAUAUGAACAGUGGAAUCUUCUUUCUUUGCAGAGAAAAGUGGACAAGCAUCCAAUUUCCCAAUCAAUUCUUGGGAUAAAUUGGUAUAACUUGUUGGAAAGCAGUCUGUCAAUAUGUAUUGCAAGCCCUAAAAAUAUUUAUGUCCCCCUCAAAUACAUGCACAUUCCUAUAGUUUGAGUAAUUUAAUUUACAUAUAUUAAUUUUAAGAAAAUGUUCCUGAAAAUGAAAAAGGUAUUAGGCACAAAGAUGGUGUUAACAAUAUAUUCCUUAAAACAUUUUUAGUUUUUUUUUUUUUUUUUUGAAACAGUCUUGCUCUGUCGCCCAGGCUGGAGUGCAGUGGUGCAAUCUCAGCUCACUGCAACCUCCACCUCCAAGGUUCAAGCAAUUCUCCUGCCUCAGCCUCCCGAGUAGCUGGGAUUACAGGCACCACCAUGCCCGGCUAAUUUUUUUGUAUUUUUAGUAGAGACGGAGUUUCACCAUGUUGGCCAGGCUGGUUUCGAACUCCUGACCUCAAGUGAUCUGCUCAUGUUGGCCUCCCAAAGUGCUAGGAUUGCGGGUGAGCCACCACACCCGACCUCUUAAAACAUUUUUGGAAUAAGUUGCUCCAACAAUAAAUGAUUGGUUAUUUAAAUUGGGAACAUCAACUUGAUGGAUAUUAUUACCAUUGAAGUUUAUAGAAGGUUUGAUAUAUGGUACAAAAUGACUCUUACAUAACAUUAAGCAAAACAAAAGCAAAAUACAGUAUUGUAUAUACAUUUUGAUCUCAGCUAAACUAAUACUAAAUCCCAUGCUCAGAAAAAAUCCUGGAAUAUACAUGAUUUUAAAAUGUACACUCUCUAUAUAAGUAUACUAUAUAUAUCAUAAACACCCUCCCAUGUCGACAAAUAUAGAUUGUGACAUAAUUUUUAAUAGUUGCAUAGUAUUUCACUAUAUGCAUGAACAAAAAUUCUUCUGAUCGUCUAAGACAUUCAGACAGCUUCAAAUAUUUUUCUGUUUUAAGUACACUGCAAUGAACCAGCUUGCACAUUAAUCUUUAGCCAGUUUUCCAAUUAUUUCCUCAGGAUAAAUUCCUAGAAGUGGAAUUGCUGGGUCAAAAGCAUGUUUAGGGCUUUUGAAACCUAUUGCUAAAUGACCUUCCAGAGAGACUAUAAAUUUACGCUCCCACCAGCAGCAUAUAAGUGCAUGGCCUGUCUCUGGUGCCUUUGCCAACACUGGCUCUUCAAUGUGCUUUAAAACGAAGAAAAUAACUUAAGAAAAUAUGCCUGCAGUAGAUUUGAAACUUAUUAAAUAUAUUCAAGUCUUUAUUACACAAUCCUGGCUUGCUAUAAAAACGCUGCUAGGAGUUAACAUUUAUUGCGGAGUUACCAUGUCCCAGGCAAUGUGUGACAUGAGUUAAUUCUCAUAGUGCUGCAGAUAACUCUGUGAGGUAGGGGCCAUCACCCAUCAAUUUCAUAUGUAAGGAAAUG